rnacentral:rRNA from 1 species
GAUGAACGCUGGCGGCGUGCCUAAUACAUGCAAGUCGAGCGAACAGACGAGGAGCUUGCUCCUCUGACGUUAGCGGCGGACGGGUGAGUAACACGUGGAUAACCUACCUAUAAGACUGGGACAACUUCGGGAAACCGGAGCUAAUACCAGAUAACAUGUUGAACCGCAUGGUUCAACAGUGAAAGACGGUCUUGCUGUCACUUAUAGAUGGAUCCGCGCCGCAUUAGCUAGUUGGUAAGGUAACGGCUUACCAAGGCAACGAUGCGUAGCCGACCUGAGAGGGUGAUCGGCCACACUGGAACUGAGACACGGUCCAGACUCCUACGGGAGGCAGCAGUAGGGAAUCUUCCGCAAUGGGCGAAAGCCUGACGGAGCAACGCCGCGUGAGUGAUGAAGGUCUUCGGAUCGUAAAACUCUGUUAUUAGGGAAGAACAAAUGUGUAAGUAACUAUGCACGUCUUGACGGUACCUAAUCAGAAAGCCACGGCUAACUACGUGCCAGCAGCCGCGGUAAUACGUAGGUGGCAAGCGUUAUCCGGAAUUAUUGGGCGUAAAGCGCGCGUAGGCGGUUUUUUAAGUCUGAUGUGAAAGCCCACGGCUCAACCGUGGAGGGUCAUUGGAAACUGGAAAACUUGAGUGCAGAAGAGGAAAGUGGAAUUCCAUGUGUAGCGGUGAAAUGCGCAGAGAUAUGGAGGAACACCAGUGGCGAAGGCGACUUUCUGGUCUGUAACUGACGCUGAUGUGCGAAAGCGUGGGGAUCAAACAGG